UACGGGGGGGGCAAGCGUUGUUCGGAAUUACUGGGCGUAAAGGGCUCGUAGGCGGCCAACUAAGUCAUACGUGAAAUCCCUCGGCUUAACCGGGGAACUGCGUCUGAUACUGGAUGGCUUGAGUUUGGGAGAGGGAUGCGGAAUUCCAGGUGUAGCGGUGAAAUGCGUAGAUAUCGUAAGGAAGACCAGUGGCGAAGGCGGGUCUCUGGACAGUUCCUGACGCUGAGGCACGAAGGUCAGGGGAGCAAACGGG
rnacentral:rRNA from 1 species